GCCGCUGUGGCGAAAUAGGCAGACGCAAGGGACUUAAAAUCCCUCGGUAGCAAUACCAUACCGGUUCGAGUCCGGUCAGCGGCA
rfam:[Clostridium] cellulosi genome assembly, chromosome: I